CACCCAUUCAGCCCCAAACCCGCGAGCACAAGGAGGAGAGGAGAGGAAAAAUAUUUUCUCCGAUUCUUGCCUGUUUUCUUCACAGUUCGUUGCUAAUCGAAGACUACGAGGUUCGUUCGAGGAAUUCGGAGGACUUGAGGAGGAAGAUCGUGAAGGAAAGUUCAAGGAGCGAGCUGGAAAAUCAACAGAUGUCCAUGGCAGACCGGUACGAGACGGUCGUCCCUUCGAGGGGGGACCAGGUUUGAGAUGUUGGACCAAGACACCCCGGGCUCAUGGGUGGUCGACCCCGCCGGCCACCGAGCUAUCUAUUCAGGGCGAAUAAUGGAGGAUCUCGUUGACCGGAUGCCAAGCCUGACGCACGGAGUUUGGAGGCGCUACACUGUCAGCUUCAACUUGCCACCGGGUGUACACUGCGGACCUGGACUGGGAGUACCACCACCAUCGUCGCCUUCGGACGACGAGGACCCCUCGGAGGAGGUGCCCUCGGGAGGGACUUCUUCAGGCACUAGUUCACCCACUGUCGCGGCUGCUGUUGACUUGGGAUCGGGUGCAGAACCCGCGCGACCAGCUGUGGAGACCGAUGCAGUCAUCGACAUAGUCGUCUUGGAUUCAGAUUCAGACGACGAUCUUGAGGAUGCAUAGUUGGGAGUGCGGUGAUGUGCUCCUCUAGUUGGGAUUAGUGUAGGAGUAGCGUCUUGGCUCUGAUGUUCAGCCUUUCUUUUUGGGCAGGGUAGGUCCCUGACCUUUAGCUUUUCUUGUGGUUCUCUUUACGGGAAUUACAGAGGGUUGGUCGGUUUAGGAGGUUUUUGUUGGCUGACCUACUGUUGUAGGGAGGACUGUAUUUGAAACUCUUGUCCUUUUGUUCCGGUUUGUACGUAUUUGCCCACGGGCACUACUUUCGGUUAGUUACCCGUCACUAGAGGUUACUCGUGACGUGGUUUUGCCACUAGCUAUGGGGAUUGUACAUAUAUCUGUACAUUAGUCUUGUCUACCUUUUGUCGUUGAGU